ensembl:misc_RNA 7SK 7SK RNA
GAGCAUGGGUUUGCUCUGACUGUGACAUCUGUCACUCCAUUGAUCAUCAGAGCUGACUCCACUGCUCUUGCUGGCUAUGCAGGUGUCUCCUUCCUCCCUCACAGGUCCAGAAGCAGAUGACCUCCCUGAUAAAGGAGGUCACUCUUUAGUCAAGGGUACGAGUGACCAUGUCCCUCUGCUAAAGCCUCAACACCAAGCUCUCAAAAUUACCCCCAAGGAUCUGGAAGCUUUUUCAUGGUCAAUCCUGAUGUCAAGGACUGUUACAGUCUAGCUG